UACGUAGGGGGCAAGCGUUGUCCGGAUUUAUUGGGCGUAAAGAGCGUGUAGGCGGCUAGGUAGGUCCGUUGUGAAAACUCGAGGCUCAACCUCGAGACGUCGAUGGAAACCAUCUAGCUAGAGUCCGGAAGAGGAGAGUGGAAUUCCUGGUGUAGCGGUGAAAUGCGCAGAUAUCAGGAGGAACACCAAUGGCGAAGGCAGCUCGCUGGAACGGUACUGACGCUGAGGCGCGAAAGCGUGGGGAGCGAACAGG
rnacentral:rRNA from 1 species